rnacentral:rRNA from 1 species
GGGUUAGAAGGUGCGCAGGCGGGUCUUUAAGUCAGGGGUGAAAUCCUGGAGCUCAACUCCAGAACUGCCUUUGAUACUGAAGAUCUUGAGUUCGGGAGAGGUGAGUGGAACUGCGAGUGUAGAGGUGAAAUUCGUAGAUAUUCGCAAGAACACCAGUGGCGAAGGCGGCUCACUGGCCCGAUACUGACGCUGAGGCACGAAAGCGUGGGGAGCAAAACAGGAUUAGAUACCCUGGUAGUCCACGCCGUAAACGAUGAAUGCCAGCCGUUAGUGGGUUUACUCACUAGUGGCGCAGCUAACGCUUUAAGCAAUUCCGCCUGGGGAGUACGGUCGCAAGAUUAAAACUU